rfam:Bradyrhizobium erythrophlei strain GAS478 genome assembly, contig: Ga0132009_11
CAAGUCCAUCACGAUGAAGGAGUAGCGAACCGCAUCGACCCCGAGUCAUGCGCCAGUACCCGUGAGGGUAUUGGCGAAGCGUUGACAGGGGAGCGCAUAGGCCAGCCAUUGAGCCGCGAAAGUACCCUCAUCCUGGGUGCCGACGUCGUUCCGGUGACGGAAGGCAACACGGAUGGGCGCGAUAACGCGAGCGCCCAGACGGCCCGGCGUGGUCUUAGACAC